rfam:Deltaproteobacteria bacterium RBG_16_48_10 RBG_16_scaffold_1216, whole genome shotgun sequence.
GCCGAAGUGGUGGAAUUGGUAGACACGCCAUCUUGAGGGGGUGGUGGGCGAUCCCCGUGGGGGUUCAAAUCCCCCCUUCGGCA